rnacentral:snRNA from 1 species
CGAUGUGAGAGUGAUCUGGCUGCACAUCUGUCACCCCAGUGACCAUUGCUCAGGGUAGAUUUGGCUGAUCUGGCUAACUAGGCAGUGUUCCCUUCCCCCCCUUACCACUCCAGAGGACAACAUUCCCCGAAUACAGGAGAAGCGGUCUUCAGUCAAGGGCACAUAGCUGUGCUCUCCUGCUAGAACUUCCAAACAAGCCCACAUGUGCAUAGGUGCGCCAAUAUGCCCACACACAGACUACACAAGGUAAACAAAUGCAUGCUUGUAAAAGUAUCAAAAAUAUAGGCGAAAUUGAAAUAUUGUGGUGAAUUCUCUUCCUAUACUGGACAUUC